rnacentral:lncRNA from 1 species
UUUGGAUUCUUAAGGAGGUGGCCUGGAAGCUGUAUGAAGCUCCUGUCCUCAAAGGCCCAGGUCUGGAAUGAAUGGUGAACAGCAGUUCCUGUCUGGGCAGAGGGGAGCUAGACAGAGGUAUCAGGCAGCUUGGUGGGUCUUCUCCGUGCUUGGGGUGCCUCCUGGAGGAAGAUAAAGACCUGCAAGACUCCAUCAUGCUGAUCCAUGGGUUCACCGAAAAAUUGUGGCUUUUCCUCCACCCUUGACCGUCGGCCCUCCCUGCGUGGAAGUGCAUGAGCCUGUUUCCACUGAGAAGACUGGCCUCUGCCACCAGCACUACUGACCCCUCCCAUCUAGCCCUUUUCCUAUUCCAGAUGGUGACACUACCCACCAGGGCUUACUUCAGAGCAGGAAAUUGAGAAACUAUAUCACAGAUCUGAUGUCCAGGGCCAGAGAAUUAACAUGUUCAUCUCCAAGCCUGGUACCAAGUCCCUUCACAAAAAUACAGAUGCCACCUUCAGGAAGCCUCCACGAGAAAGUGGAGGCAGCCAGGGAAGCCUUGGCAAGGGAAACCACACAGCGGCGCCGUCCCCAGCGCAAGUUUGCCUUGGUUCAGGAGCUCAGUGGGCAAGCCCUGGGGGCUGGCUGGGAAAGGAAGUUGAUGAGCAGCUACGGAGGGGCGUCCAGUCUGCAUGAGGACUCAGAGCUUCUCAGGCAGAGAGCCAUCUGAGCCAUCAUGUGGGCCAUAACGUGACUCACUCUGGGUCCAUUGAGAGCAUCAUCCGCGUGGGCCUACCUCAAACCUCUUUCACCAGCACUCCAGCCUUGCUCUUCCAGUUCCCAGAGGAUGGAAAGCCCUGCUUUGGAUUACAGCUGGAGCAGGGCAGGAGAACUGCAGCCCCCCCCCAGGAAUGCUGAAGGACCCGUAGAGGAGAGCCAUCUCUCACGCAUGGAACUUGGAGCCAGCACUCUGCCCAGAAGUGGGGCUGGCUGAGGUCAGGGUCUAUGUGUUGCUCAGGAGGUGAAUGGUGUCUCCUUUGUCCUGCUGGACGUUUUCAGGUGCAUCUUUCAGUAGCUCAAUCACAGCACUUCCAAAAUAAAUCAGUGGAUGAUGCCUGCCCCAAUAAAUGCCUCUUCCUUCCCAGGACACCAUCACUUCCAGUAACUUUUUCAUGUUUUUUGGAGUAAAAACCUUGGAACCAUUUUGAAAUCCUUUCUCCUUUCUCUACUAAAUCUGAUCAAAUACCCAGCUGGUCUUUUCCUUCAUCUCUAUCUGAUCAUUUUGAUCCUCCUUUGGCAUGUUUGCUGAUACCACCAAGCUCUGCAGCUGGUCCCCCUUAUCCCUCAUCUGUGGAUUACUAGCAUAAGUCACCUUCUGGACUUGGUGUCUCCAGGGUAGGGUGUCUGAGACAAUCUAUGGGGUAGGGGAAGCAAAUAUAGAAUUUCUGUUAUAUAUAUCUUCAACUAAAAAUUAGAAAUCCAAUGUUACU